GAAAUGCGAUAAGUAAUGUGAAUUGCUGAAUUCAGUGAAUCAUCGAAUCUUUGAACGCACCUUGCGCUCCUUGGUAUUCCUUGGAGCAUGCCUGUUUGAGUAUCAUGAAAUCUUCAAAGUAAAUCUUUUGUUAACUCAAUUGGUUUCUACUUUGGUAUUGGAGGUCUUUGCAGCUUCACACCUGCUCCUCUUUGUUCAUUAGCUGGAUCUCAGUGUUAUGCUUGGUUCCACUCGGCGUGAUAAGUUAUCUAUCGCUGAGGACACUGUAAAAGGUGGCCAAGGUAAAUGCAGAUGAACCGCUUCUAAUAGUCCAUUUACUUGGACAAUACUUUUAUGAUCUGAUCUCAAAUCAGGUAGGACUACCCGCUGAACUUAAGC
rnacentral:misc_RNA from 1 species